CUGGCGGCAUGCCUCAUACAUGCAAGUCGAACGAGGUCUUCGGACCUAGUGGCGCACGGGUGAGUAACAUGUGGGAAUCUACCUGAAGGUUCGGAAUAACUGCGGGAAACUGUAGCUAAUACCGGAUGUGUCUGUAAAGAGAAAGAUUUAUCGCCUUCAGAUGAGCCCGCACUAGAUUAGCUAGUUGGUGAGGUAACUGCUCCACCAAGGCUACGAUCUAUAGCUGAUUUGAGAGGAUGAUCAGCCACACUGGGACUGAGACACGGCCCAGACUCCUACGGGAGGCAGCAGUAGGGAAUAUUGGACAAUGGGGGAAACCCUGAUCCAGCAAUGCCGCGUGAGUGAAGAAGGCCUUAGGGUUGUAAAACUCUUUCAUCAAUGAUGAUAAUGACAUUAGUUGAAGAAGAAGCUCCGGCUAACUUCGUGCCAGCAGCCGCGGUAAUACGAAGGGGGCUAGCGUUGUUCGGAAUCACUGGGCGUAAAGCGUAUGUAGGCGGAUCAAAAAGUUAGAUGUGAAAUCCCUGGGCUCAACCCAGGAACUGCAUUUAAAACUAGUGAUCUAGAAAUUGGUAAGGGUUAGUAGAAUUUCCAGUGUAGAGGUGAAAUUCGUAGAUAUUGGAAAGAAUACCAGAAGCGAAGGCGACUAACUUGGCCAUUUUUGACGCUGAGAUACGAAAGCGUGGGUAGCAAACAGGAUUAGAUACCCUGGUAGUCCACGCAGUAAACGAUGAGUGCUAGUCGCUGGGACAAUAGUUUCAGUGUCGAAGCUAACGCAUUAAGCACUCCGCCU
rnacentral:rRNA from 1 species